AUUACUAUUCAACUGCUGUAAUUAAAACUGUUUGAGGAGGCUCAACUAUGGUAGAUGGAAUGAUACCCAAAUUAACUGUAGUUCUAACUGCCGCAGCAAUUGAAGGAGUAAUUUUAAACAAGAGGUAAUCAAGCUCACUUAUCUAGCUAAUUACCUUUUAAAUAAAGAAAAUAGUUUUUCUUCUACAUGAAACUAUCUCAUCACUUUAUAUAAAAAAAAAGUAAAUAUAAUUAUAUAUUAUAUAUAACUGAACAAAUUAUUAAUAUAUAAUUGUCGUGCUUUCAACUGCAUCUAACGAAACAAGAUACAAUGUACAUAUAACUGUUGUAUUCUCUCCUACAUAAAUCUCUAAAUAC
rnacentral:lncRNA from 1 species